GUGGUACGUGAGCUGGGUUUAGAACGUCGUGAGACAGUUCGGUCCCUAUCUACCGUGGGCGUUGGAGAAUUGAGAGGAUCUGUCCCUAGUACGAGAGGACCGGGAUGGACGAACCUCUGGUGUUUCAGUUGUUCCGCCAGGAGCAUUGCUGGGUAGCCACGUUCGGAACGGAUAACCGCUGAAGGCAUCUAAGCGGGAAGCCGGCCUCAAGAUUAAUUCUCCCGGGGACUUGAUCCCCCUGAAGGGCCGUCGAAGACUACGACGUUGAUAGGCUGGGUGUGGAAGUGUGGCAACACGCGGAGCUGACCAGUACUAAUUGCCCGUGCGGCUUGACCAUGCAA
rnacentral:rRNA from 1 species